ACGUAAACAACCUGCCUUCAGGAUGGGGACAACAGACGGAAACGACUGCUAAUACCGAAUAAGUUCCAAGAGCCGCAUGGCCCAUGGAAGAAAAAGGUGGCCUCUACCUGUAAGCUAUCGCCUGAAGAGGGGUUUGCGUCUGAUUAGCUGGUUGGAGGGGUAACGGCCCACCAAGGCGACGAUCAGUAGCCGGUCUGAGAGGAUGAACGGCCACACUGGAACUGAGACACGGUCCAGACUCCUACGGGAGGCAGCCAUG
rnacentral:rRNA from 1 species